rnacentral:rRNA from 1 species
UACAGAGGUCCCAAGCGUUGUUCGGAUUCACUGGGCGUAAAGGGCGCGUAGGCGGCGCGAGCAGUCGGCGGUGAAAGCCCGGAGCUCAACUCCGGGUCGGCCGUCGAUACUCUCGUGCUUGAGCACUGUAGAGGCAGGUGGAAUUCCGGGUGUAGCGGUGGAAUGCGUAGAGAUCCGGAAGAACACCGGUGGCGAAGGCGGCCUGCUGGGCAGUAGCUGACGCUGAUGCGCGACAGCGUGGGGAGCAAACAGG